UCGUGCCUACGGGGGGCAGCAGUGGGGAAUAUUGCACAAUGGGGGAAACCCUGAUGCAGCGACGCCGCGUGAGUGAAGAAGUAUUUCGGUAUGUAAAGCUCUGUCAGCAGGGAAGAAAGAAAUGACGGUACCUGACCAAGAAGCCCCGGCUAACUACGUGCCAGCAGCCGCGGUAAUACGUAGGGGGCAAGCGUUAUCCGGAAUUACUGGGUGUAAAGGGAGCGUAGACGGUGAUGCAAGUCUGGAGUGAAAGGCGGAGGCCCAACCCCCGGACUGCUCUGGAAACUGUAUGACUUGAGUGCAGG
rnacentral:rRNA from 1 species